CAUAAUCUUUUGAUACUAAUUCAACAUUUUUAGAAACAAUAUUAUUCCUGGUCUGCGUUUUAUCAAAUAUUUAAAAUCUUAUUAUGAAUCGUCAUAAAGAACACUAACCCAAAACGUCAACUUUGCCAAUUGUAAAAUGAACUUUUGUUAAUAGUAUUGACUUAAUAUCGCAUGCGACCUUUUGACGUCAGGGUUCUUGGCACUAAAAGCAAUUUAUUUUCUUGUUCUAACAACUGAACACAAUAGUUAGUAAUGUUUUUUGUUGUCAAGUUAUGUGUUUAAAAUAAUUACCAUUGAAUACCUAAGGAAAUAAAGUAUUUACUACCAACAAAUGUAUAAUAAAUAUAUUUGAGUGAAAUUGUUGAGUGAAUUAAAUAUAUUUAUUGUUCUGGAUAUUUUAGGUACUAUAUAUAACUUUUUUGUACACGAGAGAGUAAAUUUUUAUUCAUUUUAUGCAAAAAUAACUUUUUAUAUAUAAUCUUAUAUAUAAAAGCUGACGUCAGACUUGCAUUUAAAUUAAGUAAAACAGUCAUUCAAUAUCUAGAGGCAAUCUGGAAUUUUUUAACAUCGCGUAAACAAUAUAUAACAUUGAAAAAAAAUUUUGAUCGUGACAACACACAAUAAAGCUAUAUUUGUGUCAACACAUAAAUAAAGAUAUCACAUAAUUUGAGUUUGUUUGUAUAAAUAAAAGUUGAUAAGUUCAAAUAAACGAUUAGAGAGCGGUAGAUGCAUUUUUGGUUUGGUUUUUUUGAUUAAAAAAGUCAAAUCAAAAAGUUAAAAAUGUUAUUUUAAUUGUACAAAGCCUUCAUUUUGUCUUGUUGUGAUGCUUAUCUUUUAUCACGUCAAGUUAUUUACAGAAUUUAGGUUGUCUCAUUGAAUGUUACGUUGACCAAAGUAAAAAAUUUAAGUAAAUUUGAAAGUUAUAAUCAUUAGCAUUUAUUCACCGAAUGUUUUCAUGAAAGUCAUCGUUUGACGACGAAAUAAAAUCAAGCGUUGACAAACGAUGGUGGGUUAUUUGGAUAAACGAUCUUUACGAAACUUCUUUCAAAACGUCUUCGAAAAGUUUUUUGUUAAUCAUGUGAUUAAUGAUAAUCUGGCAGAAAGUUAUCGUAGAAAGAAAUAUGAAAAGAAGUCAUCGACGUUACAUGUUUCCAAAAAUAUUGUAAAUAAUGAAGAAGAAUUUCUUUUAUUCUAUGUUCAA